GAUGAAGAACGCAGCGAAAUGCGAAAAGUAAUGUGAAUUGCAGAAUUCAGUGAAUCAUCGAAUCUUUGAACGCACAUUGCGCCCGCCAGUAUUCUGGCGGGCAUGCCUGUCUGAGCGUCAUUUCAACCCUCACGCCCCUAGGGCGUGGUGUUGGGGAUCGGCCAGCGCCCUCGCGGGCGAGGCCGUCCCCUAAAUCUAGUGGCGGACCCGUCGUGGCCUCCCCUGCGAAGUAGUGAUAUUCCGCAUAGGAGAGCGACGAGCCCCUGCCGUUAAACCCCCAACUUUCUCAGGUUGACCUCAAAUCAGGUAGGACUACCCGCUGAACUUAAGCAUAUCAAUAAGCGGAGGA
rnacentral:misc_RNA from 1 species